GAGGAUGAUGAUUUCAAAUUUGUCGCCCCAGUCUUAGGGUCCACUUAGGUGGAUCUUUGCUGAUUGACAUACUAUUAAAAUCUGACUU
rnacentral:snoRNA from 1 species